UACGUAGGGGGCAAGCGUUGUCCGGAUUUAUUGGGCGUAAAGAGCGUGUAGGCGGCCAGAUAAGUCCGCUGUGAAAUCUCGAGGCUCAACUUCGAGCUGUCGGUGGAAACUUUCUGGCUAGAGUCCGGAAGAGGAGAAUGGAAUUCCUGGUGUAGCGGUGAAAUGCGCAGAUAUCAGGAAGAACACCCGUGGCGAAGGCGGUUCUCUGGGACGGUACUGACGCUGAGACGCGAAAGCGUGGGGAGCGAACAGG
rnacentral:rRNA from 1 species